AAGUCGUAACAAGGUUUCCGUAGGUGAACCUGCGGAAGGAUCAUUAUUGAAAUAAACCUGAUGGGUUGCUGCUGGCUCUCUAGGGAGCAUGUGCACACCUUGUCAUCUUUAUAUCUCCACCUGUGCACCUUUUGUAGACCCUCUCCAGGUCUAUGUUGCUUCAUUUUACCCCAAUGUAUGUUAAAAGGAUGUUGUGCUUAUAAAAUCAAUACAACUUUCAGCAACGGAUCUCUUGGCUCUCGCAUCGAUGAAGAACGCAGCGAAAUGCGAUAAGUAAUGUGAAUUGCAGAAUUCAGUGAAUCAUCGAAUCUUUGAACGCACCUUGCGCUCCUUGGUAUUCCGAGGAGCAUGCCUGUUUGAGUGUCAUUAAUAUAUAUAUCAACCAUUCUCAUUGUUGAGUGGUUUGGAUGUGGGGGUUUGCUGGCCUCUUGAAUGAGUUCAGCUCCCCUGAAAUUCAUUAGCAGAGCGACCCUGUUCAUUGNUGUGAUAACUAUCUACGCUAUUGAAUGUGAGGGGCAGUUCAGCUUUCUAACAGUCUUUGGACAAUUUAUCAUUUAUGUGACCUCAAAUCAGGUAGGACUACCCGCUGAACUUAAGCAUAUCAAUAAGCGGAGGAAAAGAAACUAACAAGGAUUCCCCUAGUAACUGCGAGUGAAGCGGGAAAAGCUCAAAUUUAAAAUCUGGCGGUCUUUUGGCUGUCCGAGUUGUAAUCUAGAGAAGUGUUANNCCGCGCUGGACCGUGUACAAGUCUCCUGGAAUGGAGCAUCAUAGAGGGUGAGAAUCCCGUCUUUGACAUGGACUGCCAGGGCUUUGUGAUGCGCUCUCAAAGAGUCGAGUUGUUUGGGAAUGCAGCUCAAAAUGGGUGGUAAAUUCCAUCUAAAGCUAAAUAUUGGCGAGAGACCGAUAGCGAACAAGUACCGUGAGGGAAAGAUGAAAAGAACUUUGGAAAGAGAGUUAAACAGUACGUGAAAUUGCUGAAAGGGAAACGCUUGAAGUCAGUCGCGUCAUCCAGGGAUCAACCUUGCUUUUGCUUGGUGCACUUUCUGGUUUGAUGGGUCAGCAUCAAUUUUGACUGUUGGAAAAAGGUCAAGGGAAUGUGGCAUCUUUGGAUGUGUUUAUAGCCCUUGGUCACAUACAAUGGUUGGGAUUGAGGAACUCAGCACGCCGCAAGGCCGGGUUUUUAAACCACGUACGUGCUUAGGAUGCUGGCAAUAUGGCUUUAAUCGACC
rnacentral:rRNA from 1 species